AGAGUUUGAUCAUGGCUCAGAACGAACGCUGGCGGCAGGCUUAACACAUGCAAGUCGAACGCACCUUCGGGUGAGUGGCAGACGGGUGAGUAACGCGUGGGAACGUGCCCUUCAGUUCGGAAUAACCCAGGGAAACUUGGGCUAAUACCGGAUACGUGCGAGAGCAGAAAGAUUUAUCGCUGAAGGAUCGGCCCGCGUCUGAUUAGCUAGUUGGUGGGGUAAUGGCCCACCAAGGCGACGAUCAGUAGCUGGUCUGAGAGGAUGAUCAGCCACAUUGGGACUGAGACACGGCCCAAACUCCUACGGGAGGCAGCAGUGGGGAAUAUUGGACAAUGGGCGCAAGCCUGAUCCAGCCAUGCCGCGUGAGUGAUGAAGGCCUUAGGGUUGUAAAGCUCUUUCGGCGGGGACGAUAAUGACGGUACCCGCAGAAGAAGCCCCGGCUAACUUCGUGCCAGCAGCCGCGGUAAUACGAAGGGGGCUAGCGUUGUUCGGAAUCACUGGGCGUAAAGGGCGCGUAGGCGGCUUGAUAAGUCGGGGGUGAAAGCCUGUGGCUCAACCACAGAAUUGCCUUCGAUACUGUCUGGCUUGAGACCGGAAGAGGUAAGUGGAACUGCGAGUGUAGAGGUGAAAUUCGUAGAUAUUCGCAAGAACACCAGUGGCGAAGGCGGCUUACUGGUCCGGUUCUGACGCUGAGGCGCGAAAGCGUGGGGAGCAAACAGGAUUAGAUACCCUAGUAGUCC
rnacentral:rRNA from 1 species